GAGGAGGGCGGUGUACGGUGGGGGGGGACGCAGGCCGGGCUCAGCCCCAAGCGGUCAACGUGGCCGCAACAAAACAGAAAUCCCAGCGAUCCCCCGCGCCCGCAAACAGCGGCUGACAGCGGCAGCGGCUCGGGGGGGGGGGGGAACCGGGGGCUGCUAAAGGGGGCGGGGGGGGGGGGGGCACCGAUUUGGAUUUGUUUCCUCUCAGUAAUUACAAGAAGGAUAGAAAACACAUGUGUUGGGAUUGCGUUUUUUGUAGGGUAUUUUUUUUUUUUAAAGCCUCCCCCCGCCCCCCCCUUUCCCUUUCCUAAAUCAGUUCAUCAAUUCGCUAAUUAUAGCUUGGGGGGGGGGGGGAAUCUCCCGACACGUUUAUUUUCCUCCCCACCCCCCCUCUCCUCUUCUUUUCUCCCUUCCCUCUCUCUGUGCACAUCAGAGUGGGGAGAAAGGGGGGGGCCCAAAAAGUGCUGGGAUGGAGUGUGUGUGUGUGGGGGGGGAAUAUGGCAUAUGAGUGGCGAAUGUUAUUUGGGAUUUCUAUGGGCGCUUUUCUUUUCGGGGAACAAAGAGCAACUCCUAUUCGAGAGCUACUCGAAGUCGUGUACAUAUUUCCACUGCUGUGUAGCACUUUUAAUAAAACAUCUGUUCUUGCUUCUGCUGAUGAGUUUACAUAAUUGUUUGCAGACCAAUUUAACCAGAAAGCGCCCCACAUAUUCCCUGUGCGUGUUCUCGUGGGGGGAAAUGUAUAUUAUAUGGGACGUGUAUAUAUAUAUAUAUAUGGGGGGACUGCAGUGGGUAAAGCGCCCUUUUAGGGUGGGUGAGGCGUUGCGUUCGCUGGAAUUUUUUGGGGUGGAUGCGCUCUUUUUAGGUAUUAUUAUGAUCCUUUCUGUUGCGUGUGUGUGUUUUCCCCCUCUCCCCCCUCUCUCUGUGUCUCUUUUCUGGCGGAUUUUGAGCGUGGGGAGCGGGUUCUGUGUGCAGUUUCUGUGCGGCAGCUGGUUUGUGUUCACUAUAAAUCGAGCGGACUUUUAAGACUUGCCCUCUGUUUAGAGAAGUCAUAAAACACUUAACUUUCUCGACUCCCAGUCACACGGUUAUCACACAGGUCUGGGAUACAACAGCCCCCCGAGCACCUAGACAAAAAAAAUAUAUAUAUAAAAUAAAAGGGAAGGGGUGAUGGGGGGGGGGGGGGAUGUGGGGUGGGGGGGGGGGAGCAGAGCAAAAACAGAGUGAUAAAAUCAUGCUGGUCACAAUAAAGAACCCAAAGGGAGCGCCUGCAGCACCGCUCUCCCCUCCCAACUUUAGCGGGGUGGGCACCGCUCUCGUUGCCCUUCCAUGGGUGCCCCACAGCGCUCCGACCCACGGAGCUGAGCCACCUCCAAUGCACGGGCGGGAUAAGCCCUCCAUCCCUCCCUCCAUCCCUGCGUUGGAACUCAAUGGCAGCAAUACCAACGUAAUAACUGGAAGCAGCUCGCGGGUUUCCCAAGUAACCCACCCCAGGGCCGGGGGCUGCAGCACAGAGCCGAGACCCCCCCCCCCGGCCGAGGGGCAGCACUCAGCACAAGCCCUCCGUCGUCUCCUUUCUGCGCUCUUUUUCCUUCUUUUCCCCUAAAUCCCCUCUUAGGCUCCGCCAGAGGGUUGGGGCGAAGGGGAGUAGAGGAAGAGGAGGGCAACGAAAGCAAAACUGAAGUUCGUUGUGGGGUUUUUUGUUUGGCUUUUUUUUGGGGGGAGAGGGGGGGAGGGAAGAGGAGGGGGGACGCCCGGACACCUCCCCCAUGUCCGUCAGUCUGAGAUCCGUCCAAGUUGGGCAGCCUUGAGGUGAAGUCACUGCGCACCCCAAUAAAGUCCGUCGCUAAACAUCGCAGGGCACGCACGCAGUUCUCUCCUCCUUCGGGUCCCAAACUUUAUUUUUCCCCCUGGUGACACUCAGGGGAAGCCUUAACGUUAUAGAAGAUGAAUACACGAGCUUUCUUUUUUUUUUUUUUUCCUCUUUUUUUUUUUUUUUUUUUCAGUUGUAGUCUCGUUUAUGGUUUUAUUGCUACCAUUGAUUACUUUGCUUUGUUACACAGAGGAAAAAGAGCAUAAAAUCCGUUGGCAUCCGGGUUCCUGUUAUAGCUGGGGGGAAAAAUAUACAGCCCCCCCCCAUCCCCCUUCCAGCCCCCCGGCCCUUCUUUGUCAGCUCAAAUCUUUUCGAGAUACAUCGCUAAAAAGGAACGAAGUGCACUGAUGGAGAGCAAACAAACGCUCUCAGCUUCGAACUGGAGUGUGCGCCCAGAGGGGCUCUCCCAGCCCCACACACGUCUGAAUUAAACACCGUGGACCCGAAGGUUUGGGAGGCCGAGCUUCCCCUCCUUCGUGGGGUUUCUAAAUAGGAAAGCACCGGGGCUGAGAUACCCCCGCGCUGCGUGCAGAGCUGCAGGUAUGUUCCACAUCUCGGGGGCCACUGAUGGCUCGAGAUAAUUGCGGCGAAAAUCGGAUGCAAUCAGAUGAGAUUCAUUUCCAUCACUCCUGGGCUCAACCCGCCCAGAGGAGAAGGGAACAGAAUCCCCUCUCCCGCCUCACCCAAUAUUUGCCAUAGAACUUUCCCCAUCAGCUCUAAAUACCCGCAGCCCCCAAUGGCCGCAGCCACGAACCACGAGGUCCCGUCCUCAGCCCCCACAACAUGAGCGCUCCUGUUUGCCCCACACUUCGCCCUGAUUAUUUUGCUGCUGGAAAACGUAGGUCUGUCCUUCCUGCACUGAGAACGAGGAGGGAGAGGUGCAGGAGGGAAACGUCAAACUGCAAACCAGGAGAAAUGCGAACUUCGGGCUGGCGUGAGCUCGCAGCGCUGUGUGUUCGUGGUCUGUCUGUCUGUCUGUCCUCCUUUUUAUUUCUCCCCCCCCCUUUCCCCUCCCGAAGACACACUUUAGGAAUGCUCUGAAAGACGUUAUCAGUUCAGAAGUCGCCAUGUUUCCCCCCCCCCCCCACCCCUUCCACCCCACUCCCCCCUUUUCUCUUUAUGUAAUAUUUUCUCAUCAGGAACACAACCGUUUGGUUCCGUGAUAUUGACCAAGGCUGCAACAGAACGGGGAGGUGGUGGGGAGGGGGGUGGGGGUGGGGGGGGGGGUUGGGGAGGAUAAAUAAUAAUAAAAAAAAGUCCCGAUAAUUUAUGGCUUAAUAUUCUGUGGACGUCUGAGAUUUAUGAGCGUGAAUUCUGAGCUGUUUUAUUACGAGAUAUUAAGCAAACAUUUCUUAAAAAAAAAAAAAAAGAAAGAAUAAAAGGGGGGCGGG
rnacentral:lncRNA from 1 species